rnacentral:rRNA from 1 species
AUACGGAGGGUGCAAGCGUUAUCCGGAAUUAUUGGGUUUAAAGGGUCCGUAGGCGGCUAGAUAAGUCAGUGGUGAAAUUCUCUCGCUCAACGAGAGACCUGCCAUUGAUACUGUCUUGGCUAGAGUUACAGUGAGGUGAGUGGAAUGUGUAGUGUAGCGGUGAAAUGCAUAGAUAUUACACAGAACACCGAUUGCGAAGGCAGCUCACUAACUGUAUACUGACGCUGAUGGACGAAAGCGUGGGGAGCAAACAGGAUUAGAAACCCUUGUAGUCC